rnacentral:rRNA from 1 species
AGAUAGUUUGAUCAUGGCUCAGAUUGAACGCUGGCGGCAAGCCUAACACAUGCAAGUCGAGCGGCAGCGAAAAGAAGCUUGCUUCUUUGUCUGCGAGCGGCGGACGGGUGAGUAAUGUCUGGGGAUCUGCCCGGUGGAGGGGGAUAACUACCGGAAACGGUAGCUAAUACCGCAUAAUGUCGCAAGACCAAAGUGGGGGACUUUCGGGCCUCACACCAUCGGAUGAACCCAGAUGAGAUUAGCUAGUAGGUGGGGUAAUGGCUCACCUAGGCUACGAUCUCUAGCUGGUCUGAGAGGAUGACCAGCCACACUGGAACUGAGACACGGUCCAGACUCCUACGGGAGGCAGCAGUGGGGAAUAUUGCACAAUGGGGGAAACCCUGAUGCAGCUAUGCCGCGUGUGUGAAGAAGGCCUUCGGGUUGUAAAGCACUUUCAGCGGGGGAAGAAAGCAAAGGCGUUAAUAUCGCCAUUGAUUGACGAUACCCGCAGAAGAAGCACCGGCUAACUCCGUGCCAGCAGCCGCGGUAAUACGGAGGGUGCAAGCGUUAAUCGGAAUUACUGGGCGUAAAGCGUACGCAGGCGGUCUGUUAAGUCAGAUGUGAAAUCCCCGGGCUCAACCUGGGAACUGCAUUUGAAACUGGCAGGCUAGAGUCUCGUAGAGGGGGGUAGAAUUCCAGGUGUAGCGGUGAAAUGCGUAGAUAUCUGGAGGAAUACCGGUGGCGAAGGCGUCCCCCUGGACGAAGACUGACGCUCAGGUACGAAAGCGUGGGGAGCAAACAGGAUUAGAUACCCUGGUAGUCCAUGCUGUAAACGAUGUCGAUUUGAAGGUUGUGGUCUUGAGCCGUGGCUUUCGGAGCUAACGCGUUAAAUCGACCGCCUGGGGAGUACGGCCGCAAGGUUAAAACUCAAAUGAAUUGACGGGGGCCCGCACAAGCGGUGGAGCAUGUGGUUUAAUUCGAUGCAACGCGAAGAACCUUACCUACUCUUGACAUCCAGAGAACUUGGCAGAGAUGCCUUGGUACCUUCGGGAACCCUGAGACAGGUGCUGCAUGGCUGUCGUCAGCUCGUGU